rnacentral:rRNA from 1 species
AGCAGCCGCGGUAAUUCCAGCUCCAAUAGCGUAUAUUAAAGUUGUUGCAGUUAAAAAGCUCGUAGUUGAAUUUCGGGAUCAGUACGCUGGUCGUGCCUUUGGUAUGUACUGGUGUCACUGAUUCCUCCCUUCUGAAGAACCGUUAUGCCAUUUAUUUGGUGUGGCGGGAAAUCAGGACUGUUACUUUGAAAAAAUUAGAGUGUUUAAAGCAGGCUCGCGCUUGAAUACAUUAGCAUGGAAUAAUGAAAUAGGACGUUUGAUCUUAUUUUGUUGGUUUCUAGGAUCGACGUAAUGAUUAAUAGGGAUAGUUGGGGGCAUUAGUAUUCAAUUGUCAGAGGUGAAAUUCUUGGAUUUAUUGAAGACUAACUACUGCGAAAGCAUUUGCCAAGGAUGUUUUCAUUAAUCAAGAACGAAAGUUAGGGGAUCGAAGACGAUCAGAUACCGUCGUAGUCUUAACCAUAAACUAUGCCGACUAGGGAUCGGAUGAUGUUAAUUUUUAAUGACUCAUUCGGCGCCUUAA